GAUGAACGCUGGCGGCGUGCCUAAUACAUGCAAGUAGAACGCUGAAGGAGGAGCUUGCUCUUCUGGAUGAGUUGCGAACGGGUGAGUAACGCGUAGGUAACCUGCCUGGUAGCGGGGGAUAACUAUUGGAAACGAUAGCUAAUACCGCAUGACAACAGUUAUUGCAUGAUAACUGUUUAAAAGGGGCAACUGCUCCACUACCAGAUGGACCUGCGUUGUAUUAGCUAGUUGGUGAGGUAACGGCUCACCAAGGCGACGAUACAUAGCCGACCUGAGAGGGUGAUCGGCCAAACUGGGACUGGGACACGGCCCAGACUCCUACGGGGGGCAGCAGUAGGGAAUCUUCGGCAAUGGACGGAAGUCUGACCGAGCAACGCCGCGUGAGUGAAGAAGGUUUUCGGAUCGUAAAGCUCUGUUGUAAGAGAAGAACGAGUGUGAGAGUGGAAAGUUCACACUGUGACGGUAUCUUACCAGAAAGGGACGGCUAACUACGUG
rnacentral:rRNA from 1 species